CGGAAAUCCUAGGUAUUCAUAGGUUUUUUUUCUGGAAUCUCUAGGGUUUGAUCACUGUUUUACCAACUUUUCAGCAAUUUUUUGGUUGAAUGAUUUCAGCCCACGUAGCAAACUAACAGAUAAACGAAGGAACUACGCAUACGUAGAUGCCUACACAAAAAUAUACAUGUAAAUCUUUGCGUACGUAUUCACAUUUGAAGGAAAAAAUGUACCAGAUUUGAUGUUUUUGAAGGCUGAAAAGCAGACUUGUGAACAGGGGCUUGGAUGCAAGUACAGUUCAUGGUUACAAUAUUAUGGUUAAAUAUAAUAUAAUUAUAUAAAAAAUCUGCAUUAUGCAAAGGAAGUGAUGGGCUCUACAUAAUGCGAGGAACUGGUGGGGGAUUCUACCUGGGAACAAGAAAAGAAAUUAGCCAAGCAGGGAAGAAUAUAUGAAUAACUCUCUUUUAUUUAGUUUAUUGUGAGGAAUAUUAAAAAAAAAAUUUUGUGUCUGAUCUCUGUCUUUCUUUUAGCUAUAUAAAGUCAUUCCUCCCACUCACAGAUCCAUGGGAUGCUUGUUUAAGCUGCUGAUACUGGAAGCUCCCCGCUUCAUCUUCUUGUUGACUCCUUUUCUGAGAUCUUAAAGAAAAGCUUUUCUUUGCACCUCUUUCUUUCUCUCUUUCCUUCUACCAGCUUUCAUCGUUUGGACUAGUGUCCAUGUAUAUCUCCUUAUUUCAGUUUAGUGCUUUUCAAUUCUUCUGCUACUUUGACUGUGCAGGAAGUGGAAGAAGAGAGUUUAUUUCCAUGGGGUUCUUUAGGGUUUCAUGGGACAUAUGUGCGUGUUAUUUUUGUUUACACGUGAUACUGCAUAGAUCUGUGCAUCAAUCUUGCAAAUAAGCAAAGAUCACUAAACCAGGGCCUAAAACUUUGAAGGUGCAGGGAGGUUUUAGGGUUUCAUUUCAUCAACGGCAAGCAAGGCCAGCCGCAGUUGUUAUUCUCUCAACAAGGCAGCGCAUGAGGGAAGAUGAAGUUGGCAAGCAAGCAAGCUCACGCUCAACGACAACACCGUCUUGGGUCUUGCUCUCUUGCUGUAACAAGUUCCUAGACAUGUCUCUCAGUCUGUAUACAAUUACCGAAAUAUCCUCGCCAUCUGUGCUUGCAAAGUAUCCCUAAUUCUAAAUCUUCUUCUCUCCUUCUUCUACCUUUAACUUCUUUUCCUUCUUAAUUAUGGGUUUCCAUAAAUCUGCUUUGCUUUGAUGAUUAUCAUAAAAUUCUCUUCUCGGUUUUCUGUAUGACCUUGAGAAGUUUAGAUUAUGCUUCUUUGUUCGAGCUUGGAAAUUAAGAUUAAGCUUGCAUAUAUACUUCUUUUCUAAGUGUCACUGUAAUUAAUUUGUACCAAGAUUUAUAAACUACUUUGCCUAAGCAAGCUUAAGAAAGCUAAAAGGCAUUUGGCAA